UACGUAGGUGUCGAGCGUUGUCCGGAUUUACUGGGCGUAAAGAGCGCGCAGGCGGUCGUUCAAGUCGAGUGUGAAAGCCCCCGGCUCAACUGGGGAGGGUCAUUCGAUACUGAUCGACUCGAAGGCAGGAGAGGGAAGUGGAAUUCCCGGUGUAGUGGUGAAAUGCGUAGAUAUCUGGAGGAACACCGGUGGCGAAGGCGGCAUCCUGGACCGGUAUUGACGCUGAGGCGCGAAAGCCAGGGGAGCAAACGGG
rnacentral:rRNA from 1 species